GUAAAGCUGAUGGUGCUGUUCACAUCAGAAAUUGCAGCACUGAAGAACAGAGUUCAUGCAGACUUUUACAACAUGCAUCAGCUACAGCAUUUGUUUGUUGAUGGUACCAGCUGUCAAAAACCAAGCAAGUGGCAGUGCUAGAGGUGCCACAAAAGUGCGAAGGAAGUGUCAGGCUGGAUGUCAAAAUGAACACCUUGGAGAACUGGAUGAUGGAACAGACGGUAAAAAUCAGCUAAACAUCAGAGAAAAUGGAGGAAGAGGUCAAAACUGUGAACAGGAACUAGAAGAAAGUGUAGCAGAAAAAGACUUGUCACAAACUUCGAGAGAUUUGGAGAAAAUGAUGUCAAAACACAUCUUCCUCAAGCCCAUGCUGAGUAUCUCUGAUUUGGUUAAUUUCUUGAUUGUCCCAAAUUUGGCCAAUGAAAAAGUCCUUCAAGGCCAGGUGUGGUAGCUCAUGCCUAUAAUCCCAGCAUUUUGGGAGGCUGAGGCAGAUGGAUCACCAGAGGUCAAGAGUUUGAGACCAGCCUGGCCAACAUGGUGAAACCCUGUCUCUACUGGAAAAAAAAAAAAAAAAUUAGCCGGGUGUGGUGGCAAGUACCUAUAACUCAGCAGGCUGAGGCAGGAGAAUCACUUGAACCUGGGAGGCAGAGGUUGCAGUCAGCUGAGAUCAUGCCACUGCACUCCAGCCUGGGAGAAAGAGCAAGACUCUGUUUCAAAAAAAAAAAAAGAAAAAAAAAAAAAAGUCCUUCAAGUUGACUUCUAUAUCUUUUUUUUAAAAAAAACAGCUUUAUUGAGAUCUAAUUUCCCUACCAUACAGUUCACCCAUUUACAGUACACAGUUCUAUGGUUUUAGUUUAUUCAGAGUUGUGCAAGCAUCAUCACAGUCAAUUUUAGAACAAUCAAAUUUAGUUCAUUACCCCUAAAAGAAACUGUUACCCAUUAGUGGUCACUUCCUAUUCCCCUCAACUCUUGCAGCCCUAGGUAACUGCUAAUCCACCGUCUCCAUAGAUUUGCCUAUUCUGGAUGUGUCAUACGAAUGGAAUCAUCUAUGUGGUCUUCUGUGACUGGCUUCUUUCACUUGGCAUGUUUUCAUGGUUCACCCACAUUGUAUAAAAAUGUCCGUCUACAUUCUGUAGCAUUGAUUUUACUGCCAUUUUAACAUUCCAUAUUAUGGAUAUACUGUAUUUUACUUACCCAUUCAUCAGUUGAUGGGUAUUUGGGUUGUUUCCACUUUUUGGCUCUUGUGAAUAAUGCUGCAAUAACCAAUCAUGUACAAGUUUUUGUAUGAACAUACGUUUUAAUUUACCUUGCAUACAUAUAUAGGAGUGGAACUGCUGGGUCAUAUGGUAACUUUAUGCUUAAUCUUUUGAGAAACUUCCAGACUGCUUUCCAAAGGGGCUGUAUUAUUUGACAUACUUUUUCUUUUUCCUUUCUUUUGAGACAAGGUCUCACCCUGUUGCUCAAGCUGGAGUGCAGUGGCACGAUCACAGCUCACUGCAACCUUGACCUGCUGGGCCCUAGCGAUCCUACCAUGUUAGCCUCCCAAAGAGUUGGAAUUACAGGUGUGAGCCACUGUGCCCAGCCUCCAUUUGACAUUCUUACCAGCCAUGUAUGAGAGUUCCAGUUUCUCCACAUCUUCAUCAACACGUUACCUUUUUUAUUAUAGCCAUCCUAGUGGCUAUAAUUGUGGUUUUGAUUUGCAUUUCACUGAGGCUAAUGAUACUGACUCAGUGUUUCUCAAGGUACCUUUGGUCCCAAAAAUUCAUGUUUUAUUUUAUAUCCAGAAAACUAUCUUCAGUUAUAGCUUUCUUUCAUUGUUAUGUUUCUUUUCUUUGGAGACUUCAAUGAUGCAUAUGUUAACUUCUGUCUAUCUUCUAUAUCUCUCACUUUUUUUCUAAUAUUUUUCCUUCUUUUCCAAAUUUGUUUUGGGUUCUCUUGGCUGUUUUAAAUUUAUUUUCAAUGUUCCUUCUUGACUUUUAAGGCUAACCUAUUUUCCCGUGGACACAAUGUAAUUUAGUUUCCAUAUCUCAAGAUUAUUUUGGCUUUUUCUUCUACUUCUUUCCUGAAUUUCAUCAGUUCUCAUUUUAUAGUUUUCUGCUUUGUGUCCAUUUCUAUUUUGAGUUUUUUAAUGUCUGAUUUUUGGUAUUCUUUAUAGCUACAGCUGCUUACUAAAUGAUAUUUAAUUCAUAUGAAGAAUACUGUUAGUUUUCCUCUGCUUUUUGGCUGUUGGAUGGAAUUGUGGUUGGUGGAAAGAAUUUUCAUUAGUUAAAAUGGUUUUUAAUUUUUUUCUUGUAGUUACUUUAUAUGGAUGUUGGUUGCUGUUCUGUUUAGUUCAAAAUACCUCGGAUCUGACCAGGUGUGGUGGCUCACACCUGUAAUCCCAGCAAUUUGGGAGACCAAGGCAGGUGGAUCAACUGAGGUCAGGAGUUCAAGAACAGCCUUACCAACAUGAUGAAACCAUCUCUUCUAAAAAUACAAAAAUUACCCAGGCGUGGUGGUGGGUGACUCUAAUCCCAGGUACUUGGGAGGCUGAAGCAGGAGAAUCCCUUGAACCUGGGAGGUGGAGGUUGCAGUGGGCCAAGAUCGUGCUACUGCACUCCAGCCCCAGCUGGGUGACAGAGUGAGACACUGUCUCAAAAACAAAACAAAAACAAAAACAAAACAACCUGUCAAUAUCACUGGGGAAAGAGUUUGUCAAACUCCAAGGCAAUUUUCAGUGAGAAUGACACUAAGUUUCAGACUUCAGGGCAAUAGGAAUGAUGUCAGACUUCAAUUACAUUCCCCAUGAAGAACCAGACAGCUAGAGUGUCGCUAUGUACUUUUAAAAGAUGACUGAGGAUGGAGACAAGUGAGUUGGCAGACAGUGGCAACCUCUGGAAGACAGAAUCUUCUCUGCUGGUUCCCAGGCUGCUGCUCCGAAAGUCCCAAAACACGCACCUGGCCUCUCCUGCAUUCCCACUGGCUGCACCUUGCUCCUGCCCAGAAUGAAAUCUGGCUCCUGGCCACCAAGCAAGAAGCCACCAGCUGACCAAAAUUUUUAAUUAAAAAAAAAAAAUUAGUUCAAGUGCCCACUGGGAGACAAAACUCUGAACCAAUGACCAAUAGUUUCUUCCACAGCAGAAUAUCAUUGCUGGUAACAAUGGGUGUGGUAUUUCUCAAAUCAUACCUAAUGAUUCUUCUCAAAAUUUAUACUUUGCUUUUCCUCAAACCAGCUGGUUUAGAUAUUUUAGUACAAUGCUUUCACCAGAACCUACAACAAUGGUUCCUAUUAACUGAGAACUGAAAUUGAUGUGGUCUCCUCAUGCCACAGGUCACAUGUUGUUUGGUGACUGAUUUUGACUCUCAGGAGGAAGUGGGGUUGCUGUUACACCACGGAGGCAAGAGGAGCAGUAAUAGAACACAGGAGAUCUCCUGAGGCACCUCAUCACUCUCAUGCCAGGGCACAAGUUGAUGGCAAUGUACUGUACCACCUACAGACAAACUACAGACAACCUACCUACAGGCAACCUCCUCAAGAACAAAAGCUUGCUUAACCCAACCAGGCAAAGAAUCCUGGCCAGCUGAGGGGUUGCGUGAAGGAAAGAGGGACCUGGAAUGGUUAGCGGAGAAGGAAAAUUGUAAAUGACAAUAAAGCUUCAUUACCAGUUACAAAAAUGAA